rnacentral:rRNA from 1 species
AGGUAGUUGGUAGGUUAAUGGCCUACCAAGCCAAUGAUCUGUAGCUGAUUUGAGAGAAUGAUCAGCCACACUGGAACUUAGACACGGUCCAGACUCCUACGGGAGGCAGCAGUGAGGAAUAUUGGACAAUGGGCGCAAGCCUGAUCCAGCAAUGCCGCGUGAAUGAUGAAGGCCUUCGGGUUGUAAAGUUCUUUUAGUAGGGAAGAAAAUGACUGUACCUACAGAAAAAGCUCCGGCUAACUCUGUGCCAGCAGCCGCGGUAAUACAGAGGGAGCUAGUGUUUUUCGGAUUUACUGGGCGUAAAGAGCGCGUAGGUGGUUGUAUAAGUUGAAAGUGAAAUCCUAGAGCUCAACUCUAGAACUGCUUUUAAUACUGUAUAACUCGAGUCAAGUAGGGGACAAUGGAAUUCUUGGUGUAGGAGUGAAAUCCUUAGAUAUCAGGAGGAACACCGGUGGCGAAGGCGAUUGUCUGGACUUUGACUGACAUUGUGGCGCGAAAGCGUGGGUAGCAAACAGGAUUAGAUACCCUGGUAGUCCACGCCCUAAACUAUGAGUGCUAGAUAUUGGAGCAUUAGUUUUCAGUAUCGCAGCUAACGCAUUAAGCACUCCGCCUGGGGAGUAAGGUCGCAAGAUUAAAACUCAAAGGAAUUGACGGGGACCCGCACAAGCAGUGGAGCAUGCGGUUUAAUUCGAUUUCACACGAAAAACCUUACCAAUCUUUGACAUAGUGGUCGUAUGCCUCGGGAACGAGGCAGUCGGUUCGGCCGGACCAUAUACAGGUGUUGCAUGGCUGUCGUCAGUUCGUGUCGUGAGAUGUUGGGUUAAGUCCCAUAACGAGCGCAACCCUUGUCCUUAGUUGCCAUCAGGUAAUGCUGGGAACUCUAGGGAAACUGCCAGCGAUAAGCUGGAGGAAGGUGGGGACGAUGUCAAGUCAUCAUGGCCCUUAUAGAUUGGGCUACACGCGUGCUACAAUGGUGGUUACAAUAGGUCGUGAAAGCGCGAGCUCGAACUAAUCCUCAAAAACCAUCUCAGUUCGGAUUGUACUCUGCAACUCGAGUACAUGAAGUUGGAAUUGCUAGUAAUCGCAGAUCAGCAUGCUGCGGUGAAUACGUUCACGGGUCUUGUACACACUGCCCGUCAAGGCAUGGGAGUUGAUUUAGCUCAAAGUACGGUAGCUAACCAGCAAUGGAGGCGCCGUCCUACAGCAAAGUCAAUGACUGGGCUUAAGUCGGAACAAGGUAGCCGUAGGAGAACCUGCGGCUG